rnacentral:sRNA from 1 species
GCUUCGCUCUCCAUGGCGGUUAGCGGUGGAUAUGGGAGUCGAUACCGCCGGCGGUGAGGAUGCUCCCCUCCCCCGCGAUGGCCUCGGUACCCGGCCCCACCACGAUGUUCACACCGGGCUGCACGUCGGGAUUGCCCGCCUUGCCGAUGGCGGCGAUACGCCCACCCUUGAUACCCACGUCCGCCUUGACCACUCCCCAGUGGUCCAGGAUCAGGGCGUUGGUGAUCACCACGUCCAUCACCUCGGCGCUGGGCAACUGGCUCUGGCCCAUGCCGUCGCGAAU